rnacentral:tRNA from 1 species
GCCGUUAUAGCUCAGCAGGUAGAGCAACUGACUUGUAAUCAGUAGGUCCGGGGUUCGAUUCCUCGUGGCGGCACCA